UUGGUCCAGAAGAAAAGGUCCAAUGCCGCUAACUCUGGGAAUAGUUAAUGCACGCUCCACAUUGCAAAACAUAAUUUCCCCUCUUCUCCCCCCGCAGGUACGGCUGGAAGCCCAAUAAGUUCGCUGGGAAGCGGCCGUUCCGCGGAGCCGGCGGAGGCAGGGCUUCCUGCAUGGCCGGGCAGCGGCUCCCCCCAGCCCGCCCGGCGGCGGCGGCGGGCAGGGCCGGCGGGCAGGGCCGCCGCCGGGCGCAGGGCAGGGCUGCGCCGUCCUGCGGGUUCGCCGGCAGCGGCUGGGACGGCGGCGGCAGUGCUGCCCCUGGCAGGGAGCGACUUGCCCGCCCCGCUGCCCCCCGGCCCUUCCCGGGAGGGGAGAGAGGGAGACCGGCGAGUGCUGGAGAGCCCUGGCUGGAGCUGGGUGAAGGGCUGCAACAGGUUUCAUUGCAAAGAAGCCCCAGAAACUGAAGGCUUUAUUCUUUCUUACUCAAGAAGAAAAUACCUGUUCAAGUCAGCAAGUAGUUUGAUUGAAUGAGGGCAGUGAAACUAGUCCAUAGUGGGAAUUUUUUAAAAAGCAAGCAUCAAUCCAUUGUGACUCGUGCACACACAGCAGAGGAAGAACAGAACCUACCGCAGCCUGUGAGCAGCAAGAAACUGCAGCUGGAUGACUGCAUAAGGGGUUUGCAAGACCGCCAGUAAUUUUUUAUAUUCAGAGUUAAAUAGAGCAAUAAGAUGGAAUUUAAGCUUUAGUGCAAUGGAUUGAGGCUCUUCAGUCAAUCAAAUUAUAGUUCAAUCAGUUCAUUUUAAUCACUUCUCUGGAGAGAAGUAAACCCCUAUGUUGAAGAAUAUGCAGCAAUUUUAUUGAUGGAAAGUUUAAUUGUUUCAUUUUUCCUUACCGUCUGUAACACACUAGACUUUUAAUCAGUGGGAACUGAAGUUAUAAUGAAGUAAAGUCCACUUUCCACAGUUCACAACUAGCUGAAAAUAAUUGGGUUGAGACUCCCAUCCAGACAGUGUAAUGCCUCUGGCAUUUUCCUGAAAACUACACUUAAUUGCUUUGCUGAUGUUGUUAAGUGGUCCUGAGGGGGUUGAAGUAGUAAAGCUGCCCACAUAUGCAGGGAAACAAUACACAAAAAAUGUCUUACAAGGUCCUUAAAGGAGGACCAACUAGUGACUAGAAGACAGUGUAUGGCUUUUUUUUUUCCUUUUCUAUACCAGAGAGAACACACAGGAGAGGCUGAUAAAAUAAACUGUGGAAAUUCUAUAAACACUAGCAGUAUUUUUAUUUAAGGGCAGAAAGCUUGGGACUGGAAGUGCAGAAAACACCAAGGCGCUCCUUUUGCAAUCAAACCGGCAACUUAAGGUGAGCCCAGCUCGGCAUUUUUGUGCCGAACGCCAGUUAGCGUGCUGCCUUCUCUUCAGCACCGUGGGCUGAGGACCAGGUGUACUCCUGUCCCCACGGAGGGAGGGCAGCUCGCUCUCCGUGCUCUGAAGUGACAGGAUGUGAGCCAGCCAGGAGCUGAAAGUCCAGGCCUCAGUGGGACCAGCGAGCGCACCCCAUUAGGCUCUAAACCAGAGAAGGAAUAACACUUUGGAAUUUCUCCUUAUUUAAUACAUUCAUGGGAAACCCUCCUCAGUUGAGUGGUGUUUGUUUAAAGUGAUGAAGUAACUGCUAGGCUCAGGGAUAUUCUGAUGCAGAAAUAAAUAUGUUAGUUAUCUAAUAAAGAAAAAUAUUUAUUUAGGACACGUGAAUUAGGUAGUGCCAAUGAACUUGAAUUCAGGGUUGGAACCUGGAGCUGUUCUGGGGAAGGAGGGACAAUAAGGCUAAUUUAGCUUUGAGCAAGUGGGUCCCAUCCCACCCCCCGUUUAUUUACAUAUGCAGGCCCAGUAGAGUCUCUCUCUCAACAGCCUGACCUUCCUCAGCUGGUAUCUCUCUAAACUUCGCAGUGGCCUUUGCUUAUUUUAUUCUUGCUUUCUCAGGCUCUGAGCUGAACAACCACCCCCUGAUGACCUUCUCGAAAGGAACACAGACAAAAUUUAGGCACUGAAA